rnacentral:rRNA from 1 species
UACGUAGGGUGCGAGCGUUGUCCGGAAUUAUUGGGCGUAAAGAGCUCGUAGGCGGUUUGUUGCGUCGGCCGUGAAAACCUGCAGCUUAACUGUGGGCCUGCGGCCGAUACGGGCAGACUUGAGUUCGGUAGGGGAGACUGGAAUUCCUGGUGUAGCGGUGAAAUGCGCAGAUAUCAGGAGGAAAACCGGUGGCGAAGGCGGGUCUCUGGGCCGAUACUGACGCUGAGGAGCGAAAGCGUGGGGAGCGAACAGG